AAAUUUAGGAUAAUUUAAACCAAGAGCCUUCAAAGCCCUAAACAAGAGCACGCACCUCUUAAUUUCU
rnacentral:tRNA from 1 species